rnacentral:rRNA from 1 species
AGAGUUUGAUCAUGGCUCAGGAUGAACGCUGGCGGCGUGCUUAACACAUGCAAGUCGAACGGUGAACACGGAGCUUGCUCUGUGGGAUCAGUGGCGAACGGGUGAGUAACACGUGAGCAACCUGCCCCUGACUCUGGGAUAAGCGCUGGAAACGGCGUCUAAUACUGGAUACGAGUAGCGGCCGCAUGGUCAGUUACUGGAAAGAUUUUUUGGUUGGGGAUGGGCUCGCGGCCUAUCAGCUUGUUGGUGAGGUAAUGGCUCACCAAGGCGUCGACGGGUAGCCGGCCUGAGAGGGUGACCGGCCACACUGGGACUGAGACACGGCCCAGACUCCUACGGGAGGCAGCAGUGGGGAAUAUUGCACAAUGGGCGGAAGCCUGAUGCAGCAACGCCGCGUGAGGGAUGACG